CCCUCCCUUUUCUUAGAAAGCUAAAAACAUAAGAACCAACGGUGCAACUGAAAAACUAGAAGAAUGAUUCAGUUUUGAGCGACAUCUUCGUGAUCUCAAUUCAGCUAGUUCAACUGGGUAUCGAAUUAUAUUAGAGGGGCAAGGUGGAUCAUAAUGACAAUUGAAUUUAUGUUACUGGGAACGACUAGGAUCUUCUUGAGAGUAGCGAAUCCACUCAAUUGAAGAGCAAUCAAGAAAAUUUACGGACCGAUUUCUCUUCAACCGAGAACGAAACUCUCUUGAGAGAAAACACUAAGAAAGAAAGAAAAAAAAAGAGAGAAAAGAUCUAGGAGAGAGAAAUGAUACUAAAUCUGGAUUCUCAAUUGGAUGCAUGACCCGGUGGCCUCCUUUUAUCCAGAGAAAGGGUUGGUCAUCCCUUUAUUUUUCUUAGCCUAGCACAGAGGGAUUUAAAGUCUGAAUAAAAGAAGACUUACUUACAAGAAAGAAGCCAAAUGGUUGGCCAAAGUGUUGUCUGACAGAAAAUAAAUAUCGAGAAAACUGAUUUAUUGUUUAAGGGAAAGAAAUUUCUAAUAUUUUCAAGAUUCACCAUAUGUUACUUUUCAAAAAACGUAAUCACUUGCAUUGAAAAAGAUUGGAUAAAGAUUUCAAGAAGAGUUCUAAAGAAGGUAUCUGUUAAGAAGACGCAAUGAUCUGUCAACAGUUUUUAAAAACAGUGUGAUGUCAUAAAAGUAUUUGUAUAAUAAUCUAGUUAUAAAUUUGUAAACAAUAUAUAUUGUAAGUAUAUUGCGCACACAAUAAACAAACAUUUCUUAACAUUUCCUAAACAUUUCUUAAUUUUUAUGUUGUAAUUUUGCCACUUCAGACAUUUAGUUUGAUUCUUCGU